rnacentral:rRNA from 5 species
UGGAGAGUUUGAUCCUGGCUCAGAUUGAACGCUGGCGGCAGGCCUAACACAUGCAAGUCGAGCGGCAGCGGAAAGUAGCUUGCUACUUUGCCGGCGAGCGGCGGACGGGUGAGUAAUGUCUGGGAAACUGCCUGAUGGAGGGGGAUAACUACUGGAAACGGUAGCUAAUACCGCAUGACCUCGAAAGAGCAAAGUGGGGGAUCUUCGGACCUCACGCCAUCGGAUGUGCCCAGAUGGGAUUAGCUAGUAGGUGAGGUAAUGGCUCACCUAGGCGACGAUCCCUAGCUGGUCUGAGAGGAUGACCAGCCACACUGGAACUGAGACACGGUCCAGACUCCUACGGGAGGCAGCAGUGGGGAAUAUUGCACAAUGGGCGCAAGCCUGAUGCAGCCAUGCCGCGUGUGUGAAGAAGGCCUUAGGGUUGUAAAGCACUUUCAGCGAGGAGGAAGGCAYCAUACUUAAUACGUGUGGUGAUUGACGUUACUCGCAGAAGAAGCACCGGCUAACUCCGUGCCAGCAGCCGCGGUA